CCUACGGGAGGCAGCAGUGGGGAAUCUUGCGCAAUGGGCGAAAGCCUGACGCAGCAACGCCGCGUGCGGGAAGAAGGCCUUCGGGUUGUAAACCGCUUUCAGCAGGAACGAAAAUGACGGUACCUGCAGAAGAAGGAGCGGCCAACUACGUGCCAGCAGCCGCGGUGACACGUAGGCUCCAAGCGUUGUCCGGAUUUAUUGGGCGUAAAGAGCUCGUAGGCGGUUCAGUAAGUCGGGUGUGAAAACUCUGGGCUCAACCCAGAGCCUGCAUUCGAAACUGCUGUGACUAGAGUUUGGUAGGGGAGCGGGGAAUUCCUAGUGUAGCGGUGAAAUGCGCAGAUAUUAGGAGGAACACCGGUGGCGAAAGCGCCGCUCUGGGCCAAUACUGACGCUGAGGAGCGAAAGCGUGGGUAGCAAACAGGAUUAGAUACCCUGGUAGUCCAUGCCGUAAACGAUGGGCACUAGGUGUGGGUUUCAACUAACGAAAUCCGUGCCGUCGCUAACGCAUUAAGUGCCCCGCCUGGGGGAGGUACGGUCGCGAGACGUAAACUACAANAGAAGUAAGUACGGCGUUGAGACGUUGCCGAACGGCGACGACGAGGGGAGGUUAGG
rnacentral:rRNA from 1 species